rnacentral:rRNA from 1 species
ACCUGACUGCUAUCGGAUUGAUACUAAGCCAUGCGAGUCAUUGUAGCAAUACAAGGCAUACGGCUCAGUAACGCGUAGUCAACCUAACCUAUGGACGGGAAUAACCUCGGGAAACUGAGAAUAAUGCCCGAUAGAACAUUAUGCCUGGAAUGGUUUAUGCUCCAAAUGAUUUAUCGCCGUAGGAUGGGACUGCGGCCUAUCAGUUUGUUGGUGAGGUAAUGGCCCACCAAGACUAUUACAGGUACGGGCUCUGAGAGGAGUAGCCCGGAGAUGGGUACUGAGACACGGACCCAGGCCCUAUGGGGCGCAGCAGGCGAGAAAACUUUGCAAUGUGCGAAAGCACGACGAGGUUAAUCCGAGUGGUUUCUGCUAAAGAAACCUUUUGUCAGUCCUAGAAACACUGAUGAAUAAGGGGUGGGCAAGUUCUGGUGUCAGCCGCCGCGGUAAAACCAGCACCUCAAGUGGUCAGGAUGAUUAUUGGGCCUAAAGCAUCCGUAGCCGGCUCUGUAAGUUUUCGGUUAAAUCUAUGCGCUCAACGUAUAGGCUGCCGAAAAUACUGCAGAACUAGGGAGUGGGAGAGGUAGACGGUACUCGGUAGGAAGGGGUAAAAUCCUUUGAUCUAUUGAUGACCACCUGUGGCGAAGGCGGUCUACCAGAACACGUUCGACGGUGAGGGAUGAAAGCUGGGGGAGCAAACCGGAUUAGAUACCCGGGUAGUCCCAGCUGUAAACGAUGCAAACUCGAUGAUGCGUUGGCUUAUUGCUAGCGCAGUGUCGCAGGGAGGCCGUUAAGUUUGCCGCCUGGGAAGUACGUACGCAAGUAUGAAACUUAAAGGAAUUGGCGGGGGAGCACCACAAGGGGUGAAGCCUGCGGUUCAAUUGGAGUCAACGCCGGGAAU